GAUGAAGAACGCAGCGAAAUGCGAUAAGUAAUGUGAAUUGCGGAAUUCAGUGAAUCAUCGAAUCUUUGAACGCACAUUGCGCCCGCCAGUAUUCUGGCGGGCAUGCCUGUUCGAGCGUCAUUACAACCCUCAGGCCCCCGGGCCUGGCGUUGGGGAUCGGCGGAAGCCCCCUGCGGGCACAACGCCGUCCCCCAAAUACAGUGGCGGUCCCGCCGCAGCUUCCAUUGCGUAGUAGCUAACACCUCGCAACUGGAGAGCGGCGCGGCCACGCCGUAAAACACCCAACUUCUGAAUGUUGACCUCGAAUCAGGUAGGAAUACCCGCUGAACUUAAGCAUAUCAAUAAGCGGAGGA
rnacentral:misc_RNA from 1 species